UUCUUGUACUCAUCUGUUUAAUCUAGUUCUGCCACUUCUUCUUGAACUUCUUGUUAGAUUUCAAGUCUGUAUUUUGUGUCCGUGACACUAUGAAGACACUAUUAAGAUUGGUCAGAAUGUAUACAUUACCACAAGGAGGUACAAAUUCUGUGGUACACAUGAUGAAUGGAAUGCAUGAGGUAUUAAGAGAUUUUAUUCUAAGAAUAAUAAUUCCUCUCUUAGAUGAUGUACCAAUUAAAGGAUGUGAGAAGAAAACAAAGAUGAGACUUUAGAUUCAAAAGGAUAUAGGAAGUUUGUAGCAGAUCAUAUUGAUGAUUAUGAAAAGAUUUUGAAAAGGUUAGAAGAAGUUCAUUUAACCUUAUUGGGGGCAAAAUCAAUAUUUAGAAUAAAAGAAGUGUUGAUGGUAGGACACAUAUAAGGGUCAUAUAGAUGCAAGCCAAGUGUGGAAAAG
rnacentral:lncRNA from 1 species